rnacentral:lncRNA from 1 species
CUUGGGUAUUCAUCUUGCUCUCUCUUUCUCACACACUCUCAGAAGAGUAUGUGAGAGACACAGUUGGCUUCCGUUCUACUCUGUGAAAUGAUUGACACACUGGUUAGUGAUUUGCAUGGGCCUGGAAAAUAAGAGAAGGGGUUGGGCCAGACAGAACUAACUCAUUAGGAGCCUGCCUGUCUGGGCUGAAGUCAGAUGUAGAGGAGUUUAGAUCCAGACUUCACUUUGUCAUCUGGACUCUCUCUGUUGGAAGAUGAUGCUUUCUACGGAUACUCUCUAAGGACCAUCUCUAGACACACUGCGCACACAAAUGUACACAUACUCACACACACGUGUUGGAGAUGAGCGUCAAUUGGGGUUCGGAUCAGUCACAGUGCUUGUGAUUGGCUGGAGCAAGCUGUUAUGUCAUCUCUGAUGCUGCUGUUGCCUCUGCUGCUGUUUCUCGGGUUAAGGGUCAUCAACGCAGCUGCAGAGACAUGGAGACAAUGCAGAGACCUGCCCCCCUGGACCUUCUGUCCCGUGUUCUUCCCAGGGCAGGGGGCGAGGGGGGUAACAGGGAGGGGAGGGGGGGGGGGUGCGUCUGAUCCAGUCUGGGGGUGUGAGGGGUGUCCGUCUGUCCCGUUCUCACCCUUCCCUGGACUUCCUGUCCUCCCAGCACCUCGUCAACUGUCACCUCUUCCCCAGAGAGUUCUCCAUCAUCACCAGAAAGGUCAGCCUCGUCGCCCCUAAGGUAAUACCAACCACACCAUAGACAGUGUGGUCUACAAGUGAGACCGUGGUACGCAGCUAUUUGAACCACACCAGGCCCUGCGGACCUCUGGGACUUACUACUGGGAGGCCUUCGCGGUCACCCUACCACUUCCUGGCUUUGGCGAACUCGUUCGAUGGACAGACCACUCACGUUGACUCGGUCAUCUAUGUCUGGGUGGAUGGAAGUUUCCACUCGUUUCAGACUAUUAAGGAGAGAGAGAGAGAGAUGAAGGUGAAGUAGAAGGAAAAGAGAAUAAGGAAGAGGGGGAGGACAAGGGGGA